AUGAGCUUCACAUCUCAGACCCUGACUGGAACAGUCAGCACCAUUAAGUUCUUUCUCUCUGAGGCCUUCCUUGGUCAGCACUUUGAGGCUGUGGAGUUGGAGGCAAGCGAGCCUGAGCCUGGAGACCUUUUCCUGUUCAGGCUGCUGACUCCCAUGGGACGCUGGUGCGGGGCCCACGUGGGCGUGUACUGUGGCCAUGGAGAGAUCAUCCACUUCGAGGGCAAGAUUCCCAGCAGCCGUGGGCCGAGCCCAAUAUUGGGCUCCUGGGAAGGUGUGGUGUGCAAACAGGGGCAGCGGCAGCUGCUGCGCUCCCGCCCACUGUGGCGCGUGCUGCGGAAACGCAGCGGUGUGGACCACUUGGGGUUGCAACGCCGUGUGCGCGAGGCCAUGGACGCAGACGCCCCUGCUUAUCACCCCACACGGUACAACUGUGUACACUUUGCGCUGCGUCUGCUGGACCCGGACAGGAGCCCCGGCUUGGUGAUGACUGACCUGGAGCUAACCAUGGAAUAGGCUGACUUUGGGCCCUCCUGGGUGGGCAGGAAGGAUCUUCAGAAAAGAUCGUUAGGGCCGGGGAUUUAGCUCAGUGGUCCCGCCGCCUGCCUGAAAAGCAGAAGGUCCCGAGUUCGAUCCCCGAUACCAAAAACAAAAGAAAAAGAAAGAAAAGAUCAUUAAAGUAUUUCCAAAGCUCCAUUAGGAGGCUCACUGUUCUCUAACCUUUCCCCCACCUCUCUGCCCGAAGCUCUCUAAGGCUUCCUUGGUGCUACUGGACCACCCUGCCCUUAAAUUCCACCUCCCCGGAGGGGCUUGAGGGGGGUGGGGUGGGAUAAAAUUAAAUUUAUUAAUAAAAAAUUGAAAUUCUGCCUCCCCAAGAAGCCGCUCAGCUUCCCAUUUGAACACCAGGACGCCGCUCUCAGUGGGACCUAGAUUUACGCAACCUUGCGUCUUUGACUGGUCUUCGGGUGCGCUGUCCCCCUACCCCCUUCCCCUCCACUAUGUGGACGUCGCGCCCAGGCCCGGUGGUCUGACUGGGGUAGGACUGGAGGUCCUCGCCCCCAGACUUAGAGGGGCGCCAAGUCCCUUUAAAGGGCAGGAACUAUUCUCUGGGUUUCUGGGGGACGGGGCGGGGCUGACGUCUCCGCGGGUCCCCGCCCGCCCCUGCAGCACGCGUGCGCUCCUGG
rnacentral:lncRNA from 1 species